UCUCCUUGCUGCUAAAAAAAAAAGGCCUCAACCUCUGCGCGCGCGUGUGUUUGUGCGCGCGCAUUAGAGCCAUUUUGAGAUAACGAUCAUUAACACUCUCUGAUGGCUUUGGCAUGAAAGACCGUGAGAGCGUUCAUCCCAAGGAAAUGGAAGAGGACAAACAUUCAGGGGAAGCCUUUUUUUUCCCGAUUUUCCCGGGGACAUGUUCAGCGCGUUAGAACGGGGAAAGAAGAAGCGGCGGCGGUGGUGGUGGUGGUGGCGGUGGUGGUGGUGGCGGUGGUGGUGGUGGCGGUGGCGGUGGCGGUGGCGGUGGUGGUGCACAGACCCGCAGCACUCGAGAAACCACCGACGGGCCGCGUUUUCAAGGACACAACCUUUAGUUUGUUUUGCUGAGGAGUGAAGUUGAAAGCGCGGGGGCGUCUAAUCCUCUGGACGUCGGCUUGCCUGAACACUGUCAUUUUGAAUUUCCGCUGCCCAGGGGUUCCACAGGCGCGUGAGCUCACGUGUCCUAUAGCAUCUUUGUCCGGAAAAAAAGGCCUGGUGGAGCUCUCGCCCCGUCCCCUCCACUGUGACCCAGGAGGCCGUGUCCUUCCCUUCCUCCGUAGCGUCGUGUCAGUGCUAAACCUCUCAGGAACAUCCAGAGAACAUCACAGGUUUGAGCAGCAGCAGCGAGAACAAGCAGCACUACAAAAACACACACACACACACACACACACUAAGACGCAAAACAGGACGUUGCAACACAUGAAGAGCAUUUUGAGAAACACUGCUGAAGACUCGAAAAAAUUAACAAUAGAAAAAGAACAAUAGAAAGAGAAGCUGUUCAGGGUGCUGUAGAUUUUCAUAGGGCAUGGCAAACUGCUCGCUUGUUGAGAAACGGAGCCGCAUGCAUCGGUGCGUGCGAAGCAUAUGGGAUAAUCAUUUACAGCCAAGGGUUGUAAUUUAUACGGCUUGUUUGUUGUUAAAGAAACGCCGUGGCUCAGUCAGAAACCUGGUCGGUGCUAAAAAUCAGUG
rnacentral:lncRNA from 1 species